CGGCCGCGGUAUCCUGACCGUGCAAAGGUAGCAUAAUCAUUUGUUCCUUAAUUAGGGACUUGUAUGAAUGGCCUCACGAGGGUUUAACUGUCUCUUACUUUUAAUCAGUGAAAUUGACCUUCCCGUGAAGAGGCGGGAAUACUAAAAUAAGACGAGAAGACCCUAUGGAGCUUAAAUUAAAUUAUCCUGGAUAAUAAAUUUUGGUUGGGGUGACCUCGGAGCAUAACUUAACCUCCGAACUCAGACUUACCCGUCAAAGUCAAUCUUAUUGAUCAACGGAACAAGUUACCCUAGGGAUAACAGCGCAAUCCUAUUUGAGAGUCCAUAUCGACAAUAGGGUUUACGACCUCGAUGUUGGAUCAGGACAUCCUAAUGGUGCAGCAGCU
rnacentral:rRNA from 1 species